rnacentral:misc_RNA from 1 species
CCCGUUAACNCGGUGCGGCUUCGGGUGAACCUCAAAGCGAAAUUCAUGUUCCGACUUGCAUACAUUUGCUAUGCAGUCACGGCCCAUGUCCCUAGCGUGGCUUCGAGGAUGCAGAACACACCGAGGGUAAGGGGUCUUUGACCUCUCUGUUUGCCCCAAAUCGGCAUUACACGCCGCAUUCGAUUGACUUUCGGCGUUGUACAGGCGUUCUACGUCUUGCGGCCCGAUGUCACCGAGGAAUGCUACCUGGUUGAUCCUGCCAGUAGUCA